UAGCUCAGUUGGUUAGAGCACCUGCUUUACACGCAGGGGGUCGUAGGUUCGAAUCCU
rnacentral:tRNA from 1 species